rnacentral:lncRNA from 1 species
UCAGAAGGAGGGAGAGGCACACCUGGGAAAAUAGGUUAUCAGACCUCUAAGCACACAGAUGAAAUACUGUCCUUUCUAGCAGACACCGUGGUGUUGCACUGAAGCAGUUCACUUACUCAGCACUAAAACUAUACGACCAGAUUCAUUUUGAGGAGUCAUGAUGUGGUUCCCUCUGUGUGUCUGCAUUUUUAUUGCCUUUAGCUAAGGUCUUUGACCUCACCAUGUCAAAGAGUGUUAAUGAUGUGUUCCCUCUCCGUUGCAUUCCCCACCUGUCAUCC